rnacentral:rRNA from 1 species
AACGAACGCUGGCGGCACGUUUUAAGCAUGCAAGUCGAAUGGCAGUGGGGGCAACCCCAUGAGAAUGGCGAACGGGUGAGUAACACGUAGGUGAUCUGCCUGACGGAUGGGGAUAGCUUGUGGAAACACAGGGUAAUACCGAAUGAGCUGACGAGACUUUGGUUUUGUUAGUAAAGGUGCUACGGCACCGCCGACAGAGGAGCCUGCGGCUGAUUAGCUAGUUGGUGGGGUAAAGGCCUACCAAGGCGACGAUCAGUAGCCGGCCUGAGAGGGUGUACGGCCACACUGGAACUGAGACACGGUCCAGACUCCUACGGGAGGCAGCAGCUAAGAAUCUUCCGCAAUGGGCGAAAGCCUGACGGAGCGAUGCCGCGUGAUCGAUGAAGGUCGAGAGAUUGUAAAGAUCUUUUCUACAUGAGGAAUAAGUCUGGGAGGGAAUGCCUGGAUGAUGACGUUAGUGUAGGAAUAAGCCCCGGCUAAUUACGUGCCAGCCGCCGCGGUAA